rnacentral:rRNA from 1 species
GACAGAGGUGCCGAGCGUUAGGCGGAAUCACUGGGCUUAAAGCGUGUGUAGGCGGCUCGUUAAGUACCUUGUGAAAUCCCACGGCUCAACCGUGGAACUGCUGGGUAUACUGGCGGUCUUGAGCCACCUAGGGGCGAGCGGAACAAGCGGUGGAGCGGUGAAAUGCGUAGAUAUCGCUUGGAACGCCAACGGUGAAAACAGCUCGCUGGGGGUGUGCUGACGCUGAGACACGAAAGCCAGGGGAGCGAACGGG